UAUGUUAAACAUGGAGUACAUGUUUUCCGCCUUUUGCUUCUUGCUGAACGAGAUUAACUCACGUGCUAAAUGACCGACCUACAUGUAGCACCACCACUAGAUGCACCUCAGCUCGAGCGCAUCGGUUCAUUCUCGCGCCAAAAAAUAUCUUUAUGCGCGAGACACGACUUUGAGGCAGGUUUAGCUUGCUAACUUAGCAAGUACUUCCAGAUUGACGGUCGGGUUUUGUUGGACAAUACAAUAUAUAUUUAUUACAGUUAUUUGUAUAUAUUGUACAAUAUUCGCAUUAAAAAUAAAAACGUCUUCAGUUAGUAAUAAAAUGGAGCUGUUUUCCAACGCUGUGAAAGACCUUUUAGAAAAGCUCCUGCAUAGCCAAAGAAACGAGACCGUGAGUGAAUGUAUUGAGAAGCUGUUUGAUAAAGUUGAGUCCCCUGAGAAACACACUAAAAUCCAGGAUUCACAGGUUGAAGAAUAUGUUCUUCGGUUGUGGAACUGGGCUGUGACCAAAAAUGUUGGUUCAGCCAUCAACGAGCAACAAAGAGCCAAAGUGCGACACAUAGCUUGUCGACUCCUGUAUUUGUGUGAACCUGAGAAGCCAUCAGAGAAUACAAUACGCAAGCAAAUUUUGAUGGCUAUUAAGACUGGGAGAACAUGGCUUGACUGUAAAAAUCCUAAACUUGCUGAUGAUUUUUUGAGUCAGGCUGUAACUAGCCUAGAGACUCUUUACUGCAGAUUGAUAUCCCAAAGAUGUGAAGUUGUUGAUAGCAACCUACCAAAAGUAGAUACUGAGAAGGACCUGCUGCGGGUUCUUUCUUAUAAAGCUGAAUCUGCCCUUGCUCAAGAGAAUCAACAGGAGGCUGUUUCCUGUGUAGACCGAUGUAAAGAGAUGCUUCUGAGACUUCCCAAGGAGACUGGAUAUCUGUCUCUAAUUUGCUAUAAAUUUGGGGUGGAUACAUAUAAUAAAAACAAGCUUGAGGACAGCUCAUUUUGGCUCAGUCAAAGCUAUGAUAUAGGGAAGAUGAAUCCAAAGUACUCUCAAGGGCCAGAAAUGCAAGCCAAAGUCCUAAGACUACUUGCUAGAGUUUAUUUGGAGUUAGACUGUCAGAAGUAUCAAGAUAAAGCUCUUUAUGCUGUGAGCCUGGCUAAUAAGGAAUACUUAGAACCAGCAGGUAUUUAUCUGAAGAUCCGUAUUUUGCUAAAGAGUGGAACAGCAGAUGAAGGGGUUAAAUCUGGACUAAAGGAAUUACUUGACUCAGAGGUUCAGCUGGAUGUGUGUCUAAGCACAGUAAAACUACUCAUAGCAGAGGAUAGAGAAACUUUGGCCUUCGAUUUUCUGAACGUGGUUUGCCAGCAUUUUGAAUCCUCUUCUGAGCUGGGCUCUGCACUUGUGUUGCAUAUUGAGUUGCUGAUGUUGAGAGGCAAAGAACUUCUGGGCAAAAUGAAAAUCGAGGAUGCAAUCACAGGUCAUUACACAGGAAGGCAGUUAUCACCACACAAUCUAACCUCCCUUCACCUCCUUCUGUGGGAUAAAGCUGCUAAAAGCAUUGAGGCCAAAAACUAUCAUGAGGCUCUGCAGUGGUACAACUAUUCAAUAAGUUUUUACAAGUCGGGUGAGCUGGAUCAGAACCUGGCCAAACUUCAGAGAAACCGAGCUUCCUGUUUUCUUUAUUUGCAGCAAUUAGAUAUGGCCAAGGAUACUAUUUCAGAGGCACUAAAGUGUGAUCCGAACAGCAUCUUCACGCAUUUUAGUAUCUACAAGAUAGCAGUUAUGGAUAACAAUAUAGAGAAGGCUGUUGAGGCUAUAGGAAAGAUUGGUGUACUAACUCAGAUGCCUGUGCCCAAUGAGGAUAGACUUCUUGUCACUGAGAAUGCAGCAGCAAACCUUCUCAUCCUUGCUGCUCAAAUUGCUUUGGAUAAUAAGCAGCAGGAGACAGCUGUGAAAGCACUCGAACGUUUUUGUGAACUCUCUCAUGAUGUAGUCCAAGUAAUUACUGCUCUCAGGUGUUUAGUUCGCCUUUUGAUGUCAACAAUGGAGAAUGUGUAUGAAGAAAACAGACACAUUUAUUCUUUCAAUUGCUCCAGGAAUUCUAGUCUAGAUGCACUCUUCUUAUAUCUCAAGAUGGCACUGAAAAAUGUGUCCCAACUCAGAAAAGCACCUGGCCAAGGAGAGGACUUUUGCUCUGAUGAGGCCAACUGGUUCAGAAGAAUUGCUUGGAACACAGCGUUGCAGUGUGAGAGCAGCUCUGUUAGAAUGAGGGAUUUCUUUCUUCUCUGCUACCAGCUGUCACAGCAUUGUGUUCAAGAUAGAGGUGUGUUGAUGGGGCAGAAAACGUGCUUGCUGAUGGUUACUGCUGCGUGUCUGGACAUCUGCUGCAUGACUCCUCAGAAUGAACAACAGGCUGAGAUCCUGACCCAAGCUUUAGAACACAUUCAGGUCUGCACAGAGAUAUGGAGAGCUUUAAAAACUUCAGGUGACUAUACCAAAGACCCAACUGACACUAUAUUGCUUCUAUACGAGUUUGAGGCACGAGCCAAAUUAAAUGAUCCCAAACUUGAGACUGUACUUGAGUCAAUCCUGGAGCUUGAUAACGUUGAUACAAAAAUUUUGGAGACAGUUGCAGCCAUAGCAAUGAAACCCCCAGCCCAUUUUCCUGUGGUAUGUAAGAAGGCUCUAUCAGUUGCCCUCUCUUUACAUAAGCAAGACCCACAAGCAGAUCUGGCACGCUGCUGUUACUGCUUACACACAUUGAUCCAGCUGUCACUGCCCAGCGGUGUGUGUGAAGUGGAUCCCCGUAUAUUAGAGGAAGCGUGGGGUUACUAUGAGGAGGCCCUGUCCAUCAUUUCAGCUGCAGUUUUCCUUCAUUUGUCACCCAUCUAUCAUGAUGAACUACACUGUUUUGAAAGUCAGAAGACUUCCCUGAACUGGAGAUCUUAUGGCUGUUGACUCGAGCUUGGAACACAGGGAUUUUGCUCUACAGUCUGUCCCAAUAUACUGAGGCUGAAAAGUGGUGUGGUUUAGGGAUAAGCUUCCUGCAGCACCUGGGUUCUAUGCAAGAUAGCUAUCAGACUCAGAUGUCUGGUCUGUAUAGUGUGGUGCUGGACAGGCUGGACAAAGCCAAGAAGAACCACAUAAUGGAGGAGUGAUAACUAAUUUAGGUCUUUUUUUUUGUAUUUAGUAGCAAGUGAAAACUUUUCUGUGACACUUUACUCAUUACUUGAAAGAUUGUAGAUUGUUAGGAAACAUUCUGUAUAUUCUAUACAUGUCCUUUACUGUAUCCUAAAAUUACAUACUGACCCUGUUGUUGAUAGGGGAAUGGAAAAACCCAUGUUCAGAUCUCAACAGAACCACAGUUUUUAUUCAUUUCAAACAAAUAAACUUUUGUCCAGUUCAAAAAAGAAAAAAGGGAAAAAUAAAUAACCAAAAUAUUAUAGAACUGACCACCUCAGGUUCUCACCUGA